rnacentral:rRNA from 1 species
GAGAUUGGGCUUGACAUCCCACGAACCUGUUGAAAGCCAGGAGUGCCCGCAAGGGAGCGCAGAGACAGGUGGUGCAUGGCUGUCGUCAGCUCGUGUCGUGAGAUGUUGGGUUAAGUCCCGCAACGAGCGCAACCCUCACCCUUUGUUGCCAUCAGGUUAUGCUGGGCACUCUAAGGGAACUGCCUCGGUUAACGAGGAGGAAGGUGGGGAUGACGUCAAGUCAUCAUGCCCCUUACGCUCUGGGCUACACACGUGCUACAAUGGCCAAUACAAAGAGCUGCAAACCCGCGAGGGCAAGCCAAUCCCAAAAAAUUGGUCUCAGUUCAGAUUGUAGGCUGCAACCCGCCUGCAUGAAGGAGGAAUCGCUAGUAAUCGUGGAUCAGCAUGCCACGGUGAAUACGUUCCCGGGCCUUGUACACACCGCCCGUCACACCACGAAAGUCUGCUGUACUCGAAGUCGCUGAGA